rnacentral:rRNA from 1 species
UUAUUUGAAACAGGAUACAACCUCCAACACUGGGUAAAUAAAAGUGAUCUAGAUAAAGCGGGCCUAAAAGCAGCCACCUUUUAAAAAGCGUCACAGCUUAUUCUACUCCACACCCUAAUUCACUAAAUUCCCCUUAACCCUUCACUAGUACUGAACUGUUUUAUACUUUUAUAAAAAUAAUUAUGCUAGAACUAGUAACAAGAAAUUGCCCUUCUCCAAAUGCAAGUAUAGACCAUAUGACACCCGAUGAUAAUUAACGUAGAUACAUAAAAUAUAGUAACAAAUAUCUAGAAAACCCUAUAAUCCUUUACGUUAACCUAACACCAGAGCAUUACAGGAAAGAUUAAAAGAGAAAGAAGGAACUCGGCAAACUUCAGCCCCGCCUGUUUACCAAAAACAUCGCCUCUUGAUAUAUAUAUAAGAGGUCCCGCCUGCCCAGUGACAAAUGUUCAACGGCCGCGGUAACCUAACCGUGCUAAGGUAGCGUAAUCACUUGUUCUCUAAAUAAGGACUAGUAUCAACGGCAUCACGAGGGCUUUACUGUCUCCUUUCUCCAAUCAGUGAAACUGAUCUCCCCGUGAAGAAGCGGAGAUUUUAUU